CGCUAGCGGCAAGCCUAACACAUGCAAGUUGAACGGUAACAACAAGAAAAGUUUACUUUUUUUGUUGACGAGUAGCGGACGGGUGAGUAAUAUCUAGGGAUCUACCUAAUGGAGGGGGAUAACUACUGGAAACGGUAGCUAAUACCGCAUAAUGUUUUUAAACUAAAGUGGGGGACCUUUUAGGCCUCAUGCCAUUAGAUGAACUUAGACGAGAUUAGCUAGUAGGUGUUGGUAAAAGCUCACCUAGGCAACGAUCUCUAGCUGGUCUGAGAGGAUGACCAGCCACACUGGAACUGAGAUACGGUCCAGACUCCUACGGGAGGCAGCAGUGGGGAAUCUUGCACAAUGGGCGAAAGCCUGAUGCAGCUAUGCCGCGUGUAUGAAGAAGGCCUUAGGGUUGUAAAGUACUUUCAGCAAGGAAGAAGAAUAAGAAUCUAAUAUAUUUUUAUUUUGACGUUACUUGCAGAAGAAGCACCGGCUAACUCCGUGCCAGCAGCCGCGGUAAUACGGAGGGUGCAAGCGUUAAUCGGAAUUACUGGGCGUAAAGAGCACGUAGGUGGUUUGUUAAGUCAGAUGUGAAAUCCCUGGGCUUAACCUAGGAACUGCAUUUGAAACUAAUAGGCUAGAGUUUCAUGAAGGGAGAUAGAAUUCCAGGUGUAGCGGUGAAAUGCGUAGAUAUCUGGAGGAAUACCAGUGGCGAAAGCGAUCUCCUAGAUGAAAACUGACACUGAGGUGCGAAAGCAUGGGGAGCAAACAGGAUUAGAUACCCUGGUAGUCCAUGCUGUAAACGAUGUCGAUUUGAAAAUUAUAGACUUGAUUUAUAAUUUUUGUAGUUAACACGUUAAAUCGACCGCCUGGGGAGUACGGCCGCAAGGUUAAAACUCAAAUGAAUUGACGGGGGCCCGCACAAGCGGUGGAGCAUGUGGUUUAAUUCGAUGCAACCCGAAGAACCUUACCUGGUCUUGACAUCCAGCGAAUUAUACAGAAAUGUGUAAGUGCCCUCCAGAGCGCUGAGACAGGUGCUGCAUGGCUGUCGUCAGCUCGUGUUGUGAAAUGUUGGGUUAAGUCCCGCAACGAGCGUAACCCUUGUCUUUUGUUGCCAGCGAUAUAUAGUCGGGAACUCAAAAGAGACUGCCGGUAAUAAACCGGAGGAAGGUGGGGAUGACGUCAAGUCAUCAUGGCCCUUAUGACCAGGGCUACACACGUGCUACAAUGGUGUAUACAAAGAGAAGCAACCUCGUAAGAAUUAGCUAAUCUCAAAAAGUACAUCUUAGUUCGGAUUGAAGUCUGCAACUCGACUUCAUGAAGUCGGAA
rnacentral:rRNA from 1 species